ensembl:lncRNA
AUGGACUGGAAAAUUAAAAAUCACUGUCAAAAAGGAGCUGAAGCAUCGGCCUCCCAUCGGGAUCACAACGGCAAACUCUCUGAGAGUGGUGUUGGCGGCAUGCUGAGGGAUCGAUAUAAACUCGCACGUGUACGUAAACGGCGUUUCCAUAUCACCCAUCUGCUUCUGUAAACAGGAGCCAUGUUUGAAGAGCUGCUCACUCAUCACGAUUGUGCCGACAGGUAAACCCAAAACGACCGUGGAACACGCUCACGGUCUGUCUGCGACCGUGGAUCAAAGGGGCCACUAAAGGGAUCCCUGGAUCAGAGCAGACAUCUGGAGGCCAAUAACUGUGGGAUUAAGAUUAAAAUCAGCCUUUCACUAGAUUUCAUCUCUUUCAAUUUUAUCUCAUUUAUUCCUUGCCCCAUCUCUUUUAUUCCUCUUUCACUUCAUUUCUAUUUCUAAAUUGAUGCAGUCUUUUUUGUGGUGUUUUUUUGAAAAGGCAAGUGUAGGACUGCAGAUUCUCUCAAGCUGAUAAUGUGCACAGUUAAAGUGGCUCAUUAAACCCAUUUUUCACACAGAAAUCACUGCUUAGCUCCAAGUCUGCAGUCAGCACUCCCCCCGUUCCCUUCGCUGGGUGUAUAAACGUCUGAUAAAAAUAGUGCAACUGAAUCAAACUCCACAUCAUUCCAUCAAACUGUUUGACUCCUACUGCUUUUGCUGCUUGUUGUUUAAUAAAACUGUUAUUAAAGAAAUAGUUCACCCAAAACUCACCCUGAUGUUCCAAACAUGUGUGACUUUCUUUUUUGGAAGAGAGAGAAAUUUAGAAAAAUCAUUUCCAUGCAAUUGCGGUAGCUUUAAAACUUCAAAAACAACAUAAGUUGCCUGUAUGCCUUGUGCACUAUAUGAAAACUCUUUUGAACCAGAAAAUCAGACUGGAAUACAAGUCAUUAUUCACUGAAAAUUUUGCCAUUUAC